rnacentral:rRNA from 1 species
UACGUAGGGGGCAAGCGUUUUUUUUGUCCGGAAUCAUUAGGCGUAAAGCGCGCGUAGGCGGCCCGGUAAGUCCGUUUGUGAAAGUCAAAGGCUCAACCUUUGAACGCCGAUGGAUACUGCCGGGGCUAGAGUCCGGAAGAGGCGAGUGGAAUUCCUGGUGAGCGGUGGAAUGCGCAGAUAUCAGGAGGAACACCAAUAGCGAAGGCAGCUC